UGGGUGAGGGACUUUUACCCCACUAAUCGUUCAGUCAGUCGUCGCCUCGAUAUUCACGCGUGUGCAACCCAGUGCUCAAUAGUGUCCUUAUUCCUCGUAGGAAGAACCAUUAGCAUUCAUCGACAGGGGGAAAACAGCAUAUUUGCUCUAAUUUUCUCAAUAAACUGCGUAAUUAUAACGCAUCACAUUUUAGUAAAACAUAUUUUAUCGUAGUUUAAAGCCAAAGCUUUUCAUCUUCACGAUGUGCAAGUGUAUCGCCGGAAGCGUUGUUUGUUGCUGCUGUCAAUGCGCGAUGAGUGUCUUCAUCUCGCUGCUAUUCGUGGGAAUCCUCCUGGCUGCGGCGAUUGCCGCAGGGAUCUACUUUGGAUUGAUCAACGUGGACGACACCGCACCAGGGUUGUCCAAGCAGAUCAACGAAAUAGGCGACUCGAUACAGGGCGCCGUCAAGGACAAACUCAACUAGAGUAUCUGAAAAAAAAACUUACUGAGAAACAGUGUUUCUCAAUGUGCCAGAAUCUAUUUCAGAAUCUCCUGGAAUGAACUCCUCAUUUUAAAUUACGUCAUUAUCUAGACAGAACACAACAUGCUUCGUAUUCCAUAGUUGUUCGAUAAAUAAUAGAAAUAUACAAAAUUCAUACAAUAUAUACAUGAAAGGGCAACGCUUUAUGUGAUGGGCUUACAUUUAGCAUACAAUUUAUAGUACAAGCACUUACUCAAGAAUCGAAUACAUCACUAUACUUGACCAAUAAAAAGAUAAUCUUUUCGUACUCGCGGCAUCGUGCCUACAAUGUUCUACCAAGCCUCGGAAUCUUCUGAAGUCUACUAUGUAAGUUUUAGUCUAAGUUGCCAAUACCAAUGUGAUGUAAAUAAACGCCUAUUUAUUUGAACGCCUUGAUAUAAA